GAAAGGACACUGAAUUGCAGCAGCCAUCCAUGAUGAUGAGAACCAAAUAUGCAUCAUAAAGACGAAAGAGACCUGUUUUCAAGAAGAUGAGAAGGAGACUUGACAGGACUUUAUUGGUUCAUAAAUUAACUUGGUAGAUUUACAAUCAUUACUUGGAAUGCCAGGAACUCUUUUUAGGAACUUAUUUUCAAGAGGGAAGAAAACACGUUUAACUCAGAAUAUGAAAUUGACACCUCAAGCUGCCCAGAAAAAGUCAAAGAGUAACAUGCAGCAGUUCAACAAACAGCUCCAGGCGAUUCCACGCGAGAUGAUCGAAUGGCUGGGACUGAGGGGACAUGCCGGGCGGCUG